rnacentral:lncRNA from 1 species
UAUGGUAGUUUAUUUUAGUUUAUUUUGCAAUAGAGGGAAGAUAUUAAGGAAGAGGGAAAAGGGGGAGAGAGAGAGAGAGAGAUAGAGAGAGAGAGAGAGAGACAGAGAGAGAGAGAGACAGAGACAGAGACAGAGACAGAGACAGAGACAGAGACAGAGAGAGAGAGCACAAGUGAGUUCCGGCUUCCUCUGAUACAGGUAGCAAUUCUAAGGCCCUAGCCAUGGGAAAGGAGUUUCAAGACUGACUAUGGGCCUUUCCCAGAGGCUCAUGCUUCCAGAAAGGGCAAGGAAGUCAGACUUUACACUUACCACAGUGACCAUCUAAAAGGAAAGCAGUCUGAGGUCUCCUGCAAGAGCUCCUCCAGGGUUGUGUUCCACAGCCAAGUGUCCCUCUUCACUCCAAGUCCCAGUGUCCCUUCUCAAGUGUGUCUCUGUUUCCACUUUUAAAGACCUUUUCCUCUUGUGUUACUUCCCCUAAAUUUUAGGUCUACCAAUCACAGCUGAUGCUCCACUCCAGGACUGCCCACUCUUUCACAGAUUUACAUAAAUGGAGGUCCCACCAAGAUUCAAAGUUCUGGAUGCCUAAACCCCCUACCAGUAGACUCCAGACAUGAGACUUCCAUAGGAACUCAUUGAGUUCCAAUAUGGACUCUACAUAGCAGGUGAACUGGAGCCUCCCAAAUGUCAUUAUCUGUGUUUACAUCCCAGGAAAGUAGACUGCCAAGGUGGGAAACUGAGGUCAUCGGCACUGAAGUGGCUUAUCCUGUGUUCCGCUCCCAUUUCAAAACGUGGAGAAGGAGCCCCGCUGGGGAGAAGACCCGAGUCCCAGUUGCUAACCCUCCCCCGAUGUGCCCCCCACCCCCUGACUCCAAACAGGAGCACCUCCCGAGGAAGAGAGAAAGCCUCCCAGACAGAAGAGAGCUUCCAGCCCACUAGGCUGGCAGAUUAAAAACAUAUAGGAUGGCACAAUCAAAGGUAUCGAGUUUCUCUAUCUUGUCCUGCUAUUGUGCAUUGGGACACACGCUGCUAGGAGACAAAGAGGACACACGUUUAUUUUCAAGCCUAGGACUUUGGAACCACUUGGGAAGAAUAUUCUUGAUUGAGAACCAAAACAUUCCAUGAUGCUUAACAAACCUGCAAAUUGAAAAAUCAACAUCGGCCCCGUGCAGCAAGGGAGCCGGAGAAGGACCUAUAGCCUGAAAAAUUCAAAAUAUUCCUUAAAUGAUAUUUGUGUGCAUUUGCAAAAUUACUACUCUCUGAAUCAAAAGUCUCAAGCUGUUUUUAUCUGAGAACAUAUGUUGUGCCGUUAGACAAUAUCUCAGCCUGUAGCCGUCCAUGAAAAAACCCCGCCGCAUAGCAUAAUGGACAGUCCCGCGAAGAAGGCGCCGCAUCUCAGUCAAUGCCCCUGUAAUAAUAUUUUAAAAUAAAUGAUAUGCAUCAUUAAAUCA